AAAGUCGUAACAAGGUAACCGUAGGUGAACCUGCGGUUGGAUCAUUAAUAAAUUAUAAACGAUAACGUAUGUUAUCAACAUCUUGUGAAAAGUACUGUCUCUGGCGGAAGGAUGACGAUUGUUUUAAACUAUCGGCAUCUGUCAGCUUGUGUUGUUCGCAACGCAGGCCGUGGACAAGCCGCCAAACAUGUAAACAAACCCUUUUAAUUUUUUUAAAACUAACAUUUUUUGUAUGAAUGUACAAAACAACUUUUGGCAACGGAUCUCUUGGCUCUC
rnacentral:misc_RNA from 1 species